CCAAGGAGUUCUCAACUAUGGAACAGAUUCCCAAGCCCCAACUGAGACGUCCUGAAUCUGAACAUCCAAGAUGUGAAUUUGAGAAGUCUCUGUUAAAAAAAAGCAAUGAACCAGAGUUCCUGUUGCUGCAUAGCCUCAUCAGCAUUUAGGGUUGUCAGUGUUUUGAAUUCUGGCCAUUCUCAUAGCUGGCGCAUGUCUCCCUCGGACAAAGCCACUGGGAAGUGCAGGCACUCGGAUUGGUGAACCAGAACCGUUACCCUGGAAGAUUAGUCCUGAGCUAACAUCCACCACCAAUCCUCCCCUUUUUUGCUGAGGAAGAUUGGCCUUGAGCUAACAUCUGUGCCCAUCUUACUCUGUUUAUGUGUGGGAUGCCUGCCAUAGCAUGGCUUGAUAAGCUGUGUGUAGGUCCAUGGCUGGGAUCUGAACUGACAAACUCCAGGAGGCUGAAGCAGAGCGUGUGAACCUAACCACUACACCACUGCACUGGCCCCUUAAGUGAUAAAUUUUGACUGUGAAGAGGAAAACAUGGAUUCAUUCAAACUCACCCCUCUCAUUUCUCUUAGUGCAGGGUGUUUGGGAUUCUGUGACCCUAAUUAUGUGAAUAUAUAUUAAAUGAGUACUGUUCACAAUUCUCUGCUUUGCUUUUGUUGAAACAGAAGCCAUAUUUUACCUUACACACUCUUGUUGGUACUGUGUCAUUGUAUUCUUUCUUUUUAGUUUCAUUGAAGGGCUACAAGGAAUAACUUGAAUAUACUGGAAUAAGAAUUGGAAAACUAUUCAUUAUCAAAAUUUGGGGACUUAAGCAUACAUUUGAAAAUUUAUAAUUACUUUCUUAUCUCUAAGUAGGUGAAAAACCAUGUAAUAAAGUAUUAGACAGUAAAUCUCAUUUGGAAUGAGGGAUUGUUGGAAACCACAGACUGUAGCGCAUCCAAUUCAACUUCCCCUUUCAUAACACUGAGCCCAGAGAGGGUAGUUGUCUUGUUCAGGGUCCUGCAGUUAGGUGGUGACAGAAAUGGUUUUUGUGAGUCCUAUUUGAGCACUCUUUUGGCCAGGCCACACCCUUUGCAGGGGUCAAGGAGUUCUUCACUACUUGGCUGUGGCUCCAUAAAUAUGGAUUCUGUGAUUUCUUUUCUCCUCCAAGUGCACAGACUCUUGCCCCCCAUUUCCCACAUUUGCAUCCCAAUGACAUAUUAGCUGAGUGACUUUGGGCUAGUUAACCAACCUCUCUCUGUGCUUCAGUUUUCACUUUUAUGAAAUGAGGAUAAUAAUAGUGCAUCUCUUAUAGAGUCUAUACCAGUGAUGUGCGUGGCACCGCGUAAGCACUUAAUAAACAUUGGCUAUUAUUUUUAUUAUUGUAAUUUUCUGCCACUCUUCCUCCAGUGUGUGCUGUGGUCUUCAUUUACUUUGUGGCAUAUAGUAAUCACAUCUAAAACAACUGAAGGUUGUAUCUGCAU
rnacentral:lncRNA from 1 species